UGUUGUUGAUAUUUUGGGUGCCGUGCCUGAUAAUGGAAUCGCUAAUAUUCUAGAAACUUGUUUACGCCAAAAAACGUUCAUACGCUCGCUUACAUAUUGGGAUCGUAUAUACACACAUAUAAAUCCUACAUGCAUGUAUGCGAGAAAUCAGAUUGGAAGGUGGAAAGGGCUAACGGGGAUGGGAAAUUUUGUUAUUAGAAAUGAAAACUCACCUUGAACGCAGGCCAUCGUCAAGGGCAUUGGAAAUGCCUUCCUCAAUGGUGGGCAGGUCGGAGGAGAAGCGAUUGAUCGGGCGCAAGACGCGCAGCGUGCGACUGGACAACUUCCAGACAAGCCGUUGCUUGUAGGGCGCCUUGUUCUGACCAUUGUAGUGGGACAGAAUGCCCGAAACACU